rnacentral:sRNA from 1 species
AUUUCAAACCUUAGAUAUAUUGAAUUUUUUUCACCAAGUAACAGCUUAUGCCUAAAAAAUCAUAUCUUUAAUUUUAAUGUUUUGUUGACCAUCCAGCCAUACUGAAUCAGAUUGAUUGUAUUCUGUUGAAUUAAGAAAUAAAUAUUUGGCAGAUUUGUUAAAAAUGAUAUCUGGGAAUUAAGGUCAAGGCUUUAUGUUGUGAAACACUGAAUUGACUUUCAUGUCAUUUUGUCUUUCAUUAAGUUUUAAUUAUUAUUGUGGUUGUGUUCUUUGGUGCAAUGUAGUGCUUAUAGAAUAUAAUUAUAUACAUUCUCUCUGAUGUGAAAUAUCCCUUCUAGAAUCAUUCCUCAUUUUUUAUUUUAUUUUUUUUAUUUUUUAAGUACAUGUACAUAGAUUGAAUAACAAUUUACAGCAUUUGUCACUAAAAAUAAUUUAAGAAUAAAUGAGAUUUAGAAUU